rnacentral:lncRNA from 1 species
GGGAGACAUGAAACAGCAAUCAAUAUGUGUAAGAUGUACAUUGGUUCCAUCUGGAAAGCGGACAACUCGAAGUGAAGGUGGGACAACUCAAAGUGCGGAGGGGGCUUCCGGGUCAUAGAUCCACCCUGAUUUCAGCGGGCGUUCCUGGGUCUUGUAUGCACUAGGUGCCCUGAAUGCUUGGCAACUGGAAUGGGUUAGCCUGGAGGCAUUUAGACUGUCCUUCUACAACCACAGAAGAGCCAUCACUGGCAGAGAGGUCCUUGGCGCAGUUAAGCAGAGAUCUUCUCAGAAGAGCUUUUGAAUAAAUGAAGUUGUUCAGAAUGGCCUUGUUAAAAUGACUCACUUGUCAAAAAACUGGAUGUGUUGGAAGGCUGGGUUGGAAGACAAGAUGUCCGAGAAGCUGUCCUGCUGCAUGAGGAGUUUCAUUGCUACACACCUAGUCUCUGGGUCCUGUGUUUUUGGCCUCCAGCUUACUUCGUGAACAUAAUAAAGGAAAGGCAUUUUCUCUUGUG